AUCCAGCUGAUGAGUCUCAAAUAGGACGAAACGCACGUCUAGGAU
rnacentral:hammerhead_ribozyme from 1 species